rnacentral:rRNA from 1 species
GAUGAACGCUGGCGGCGUGCCUAAUACAUGCAAGUCGAACGAAGUCUUCGGACUUAGUGGCGAACGGGUGAGUAACACGUUGGUACCUACCCCGAAGUGGGGAAUAACUGCCCGAAAGGGUGGCUAAUACCGCAUAAUACCGCAAGGUUAAAGCAGUAAUGCGCUUCGGGAGGGGCCUGCGUCCCAUUAGCUAGUUGGUAGGGUAAUGGCCUACCAAGGCGACGAUGGGUAGCUGGAUCGAGAGGUUGACCAGCCACACUGGGACUGAGAUACGGCCCAGACUCCUACGGGAGGCAGCAGUAAGGAAUCUUCCACAAUGGACGAAAGUCUGAUGGAGCAACGCCGCGUGCAGGAUGACGGCCUUCGGGUUGUAAACUGCUUUUAUACGGGAAGAUUAUGACGGUACCGUAUGAAUAAGGACCGGCUAACUACGUGCCAGCCGCCGCGGUAA